GAUGAACGCUAGCGGCAGGCUUAAUACAUGCAAGUCGAGGGGCAGCACAGGUAGCAAUACUGGGUGGCGACCGGCAAACGGGUGCGGAACACGUACACAACUUACCUUCUGGUGGGGGAUAGCCUUUGGAAACGGAGAGUAAUACCCCAUAUUAUAUAUGAACUGCUUGGUUUGUAUAUUAAAGAUUUAUUGCCGGAAGAUGGGUUUGCGUAUGAUUAGGUAGUUGGCGGGGUAACGGCCCACCAAGCCGACGAUCAUUAACUGGUGUGAGAGCACGACCAGUCACACGGGCACUGAGACACGGGCCCGACUCCUACGGGAGGCAGCAGUAAGGAAUAUUGGUCAAUGGACGGAAGUCUGAACCAGCCAUGCCGCGUGGAGGAUGAAGGUCCUCUGGAUUGUAAACUUCUUUUAUAGGGGGCGAAAAAAGGGAAUUCUUUCUCGUCUGACGGUACCCUAUGAAUAAGCACCGGCUAACUCCGUGCCAGCAGCCGCUGUAACAC
rnacentral:rRNA from 1 species